UAGUAGAAAUUUGAAGUAGAUGCUUGUAGUGGUAGCUUGGAGUAGAUGGCUUGUAGUAGAAGCUCGGAGUAGAUCGCUUGUGGUGGGGGCUCGGAGCCCGACCCUUGUAAGAAUUUGGAUGAGGUCUACCUGCAAUAGGAGCUCAGGGCUGAAGUCCGGCUCCCAUAGGAGGUCGGACGAAGUCUACCUGUAGUAGGAGUUUGGGGAAGAAGUUCGGCUCCCGUAAGAGCUCGGAUGAAAUCUAGAAGGUGGUUGACCACCGUAGAAACUUGGAUGGAGUCCGUCCGUCGUGGAGAUCUGCUGUUGGAAAAGUUCGGCCACUGAUGAACUGAUGAAGUUCUAGAAGAAAUUCGGAUUGGAGUCGAUUGAAUCCUGUUGGAAAAGAUCUGGAAGAGGUCCGGAGAAUGGUUGACCCUUGUAGGA
rnacentral:lncRNA from 1 species